rfam:Lupinus angustifolius cultivar Tanjil chromosome LG10, whole genome shotgun sequence.
CUACGGACUUAAUUGGAUUGAGCCUUGGUAUGGAAACUUACCAAGUGAUAACUUUCAAAUUCAGAGAAACCCUGGAAUUGACAAUGGGCAAUCCUGAGCCAAAUCCCGUUUUUUCGCAAAAACAAAGAAAAGUUCAGAAAGCGAAAAUAAAAAGGAUAGGUGCAGAGAUCCUUAUAGGGUCAUUUGAUUUAAUUACAAAGCAUGUUUUAA